rnacentral:lncRNA from 1 species
GUUUAAACACUUUUUCCCCCCCCUUGUUGACUAUGUCCUUAUUUGAAGAACCAUCCAACAUUAAUCCAGACUCUUGUUCUUGAGAAGGGUUUCUGGGAGAAAAUGACGGUGUCCAAUUCAAAUUAACUGAGGAUAUUACUCACCUCAUUAAGGUUACAAGUUUUAAAGGAGAUACCACAUAAGCAAAAAUAAACAAAUAGGACCUAACAAAUUAAUAAGCUUUUGCACAACAAAGGAAACUAUAAACAAAUGGAAAAAAAAGACAACCUAUGGAAUGGGAGAAAAUACCUGCAAGUGAUGCAAUCAGCAAGGGGUUAAUAUCCAAAACAUACAAACAACUCAUACAACUGAAUUAUUGAAAAAACAAGCAACCCAAUCAAAAAAAUGAGCAGAAGACCUCGACAGACAUUUCUCCAAAGAAGGCAUACAGAUGAUUAACAGGCACAUGAAAAGAUACUUAACAACCCUAAUCAUUAGAGAAAUGUAAAGCAAACCACAAUGAGGUAUCACCUCACAUAGAUCAGAAUGGCUAUCAUCAGAAAGUCUACAAAUAAUAAAUGCUGGAGAGUGAAGAUAAAAGGGACCCCUCCUACACUGCUGGGAAUGUAAACUGGUGCAGCAACUAUGGAAAACAGUAUGGAGAUUCCUUAAAAAACUAAAAAUAGAGCUAUCAUAGAAUCCAGCAAUCCCAUUCCUGGGCAUAUAUCUGGAAAAGACAAAAACUCUAAUUUGAAAAGAUACAUGCACUCCAACAUUCAUAGCAGCACUAUUUAUAACAGCCAAGACAUGGAAACAAUCUAAGUGCCUCUCAACAGCUGACUGGCUUAUGAUGUUGUCAGAGUUGUCUUGUGGUGCUUCAGACUUACAGACAUAGAAAAUAAACUAGUGUUUAUCAAAGGGGAAGGUGGAGGGAUAAACUAGGAGUAUGGAAUUAACAAAUACAAACUCUGACACAUAAAAUAGAUAAGCAACAAGGAUUUACUAAUUGCACAGGAAACUAUAUUCAGUAUCUUGUAAUAACCUAUAAUGGAAAAUAAUCUGAAAAAAAAUUAACAAUCACUUGGCAGUAGGCCUGAAACUGACAAAAUAUUGUGAAUCAACUAUACUUCAAAUCAAAAUUAGGUGAACCCGAAUAUAACUUCAUUUGGUUGGACUGAAAUACAUGUGUUUUUAAUAUCUUGAAAGAAUGCUGUAAUUAUGUAGUAUACUUCACAAUAAGGCUUUCACUAGGAUUAGCAAGUUUGAGAUAUGCUCUUUCUUCUCAAUUUCUGUAUUCUCCAAAAGAACCCAAUACUACUGAACCUAUAAGGGCUGUAUGAUGCCUAAAUAUGCCACAUCAUUUGCUUUAUUUAGUCAUUUAUUAUUUUAAUUUAAGCCAAUUUCCAUGAAUAGUCUCUUUAGAUUUUCCUCUCUCUUGGCAUUGUUGCUUAAAUAGUCAUUUGGACAGUAAAACAUUUAACUGUUUAGACAUAUUAAGGUUUGGUGUCAUUUUGCUUAUGGUAUAUUAAAAUUUAUGCAUUGAGUUUUUCCUUUUCUUUUGUUUGGCAGUUAUCAGGUGUAAAACAGAAUAUUAAUAUUAAAAGAAGUGACUUUAUAUCCUCCAAUAUAAAACAUUUAAAAAAAAAGAUUCAUCUAGAAGAGAGCACUAUUAUGUAACUAAGUACAUGAUACUACAAAGUACAAGUUCACAAACUGAAAAGCCAGUAUAAAUGUUUCACGUAAGGAACUGCUAAAAUGAGAACAGUUAUUUAAGCUUUCAGGUACAAUGAAGAAAAAGUUCACAUACAAACAAUUUAGUGCAAUGCUACAGUCAAUCUUAAAUGGGAAGAGUUUUCUGUUCACAAAUGUUCAGUUUUGUGAAUUCAUGAACUUUAGCCUCCAAAUUAUUCAGACCCACCAUUUUGGUGAAAGAUCAGAAAAUGUCUUUUUCUGAAACUAAACUGGCUGACACAAACGUAUCCCAACUGAAGAAAUCCUAUAGCUAAAUGAAGAUUGUAAAACAAUAAACUGGAAUGUAAUCCAUGAUGGUUUACUUGGUAGUCAUACUGUGGGGUGAAGAGAAGACAUUUGGGAAAACUUUAAUCAAGGUAUUGUUGCAAAUUAGAGUGUGUAAAGAGAAGCUGAUGCAGAGCCUCCAAGGAGUCUGAAGGUCUUAAAUGGAGGUCAUAAAUAGGUUUUUUCCCCUUUUAAAUUCAAGAACUAUAUUCAAUUAUUUCAUAGGUCAGACCCAAUCAGAGAAUACCUGUCCUUAUUCUCUUUAGGAAUAUUUCUGAGGGAAGUAAAUCUCAUAUAUUCUACCCCAUGUCCUGUUUGCAGUGAUCCUAGUUUUAACUGAUGUCAAAACACUUGAUCAAUUUAGUUAAGAAUACUAAGUGAUAGGGAAGAAAAAGAGGUGAAAGGUGAGGGAUUCCAUGUACAAACAGUACUACUUAAAUAAGGAGGUAAAAAGUCCUCUUAAAAUGGUAAGAAAUUAAAGACAUGGGUUAAUUUAACUUUUCGGGCCAAUGGUCACUUGAAUAUUACAUGAAUUACAAAUGGUGAUGGAAUCAUAAUUUUAUAUAAUAGUAUAGGACAAUAUGAUUUCCUGUGGUCUUAUCUCUUUCAGUGUUCCCAAAGAGGCCACUGUGCAGGGAACUGAAAAGCAACUGAUCUUUCUCAAAUCUUCUUUCAGGAGCAUAAGUUUGACAUUUUGUUUUGCUUUGCUUUUUGAGGAUCAACUCCCUCACUUGUCCAGACUGCAUUCCAUGUCACUCGCAAUUCCUAGGGACAAGAAAAUUAGGAACUGUUGAGUUCUGUCUUCUAAACAGAGUAUUCCGUUUUGCGUGAAAUGCUGAUAUAAAGGCGGGAUUAGCUUGGGCAGAGCAGGUCAAACGCCUACUGAGUUGCCCUUGAAUACAUGGCCAUUUUCUACCUGCUCUCUUGCAGCCAUGAGAGUUGAUGGGUCAAGGGCAAGUAUUCAAGAUGUUAGCACGUGCUGAACAUAUGGAAUCACUGAAUUUUUGCAACAUUUAAAAAAAAAAAAAACCAGGAAAAGUUGUGCGGUCAUAAUCCAGGUGGUGACCUUUUUUGGGGGGUUAGUUUUAACAUUUCUACCACCUUGAGAAGUUAUUUGAAGUAAGUGGGCUUGGAGAGGCCGGGACUCUGGGGAACGGAAAUUUAAAGAGACUUUGUAGUUGUACUGAUGGAGACAGACAACUCUGCUGGCUUCAGGGAUUAUUAAUUGUGGAAUGUAAUAAUAUGUAAUAAUUGUUGAAUGUAGUAAGAGGGGAACCAAAUCAGUUCCCUUUCAGGAACUCAUACACAAUUUUGCAAGCGAAAGGCCCACCCUCAGCAAGGCGUGCUAACGCUUCAGCAACUAGGAGUCUGACCUUAGCUCACGCUCGGAGAUGACUCCGCACUUAAAACUUUUGCCGGAAGCCGGGCCACGUGACCCGCCCUUUUCCACAGCCAUGCCUAGCGGGGCAGCCGCCAGAGCUCCUACAUUUCCUAGCCCCUCCAGCGUGGGACAGCUCAGAAUCUCCCGACAGGAGGCGGAAUCAGCUAGGUUUCGACUCGAGCGUCGCCACAACUCACGCUUUUCUCCAACAGAGCUUUGCAAGUUCUUCAUCCCAAAACAGCAGCCGGAGACUUCCGCCUGGUUGCCGACCACGUGAUCACGCGACAUUU